UUCAGGUUGAAAUUAAAGCCUUACUUAUUGGGGAAGAGGACACUGUUCAUGACGCUGCCCUUAUUCUUCAAGAAAGCCUUUUGAAAUUCGGCCGUUCAACCAUCAUGACAAGUGACGUGAGCCACGCUGCCACGCAUCUCAAUAGCUAUUCCUUUCAUUUCGUUGUUUUCCACUUGAGUUCAACGCUGUCUUCAGCAGAAGCAGAAACCCUCAAACUCAUCAGGACAAAAUGCAACCAGAACACUGACAAAAUGAUUUCAAUACUUAUUAUUCCUGAAUUGUAUGCUGAGGAUGUCUCAAGCGACACAGCAGAGUUUAUCCUAAUGGAGCCGCUAUCUCAGGACAAGCUGGCGAGAGUCCUUAUUGACUGCCAGUUUCUUACCAGAGGCCAAAGUGACUCAGGUGUAACUCGGGUUUCUUCUACUGAACCAGUGCAGGGAGGUUUGGACCUACCCAGCUUCCAAGGUGGUCUUGUGCCAUCUGUCUUUAAAAGGUUAGUUUUACCUCUUGCAGGUGUUUCCUUGCACUUUCUUUCCCCUAUUAUGUGAUGGUUAAUUCAGCUCUUGUUUUAAAGUAUUAUUUUUAUAAUCUGUUCUAAUAUUAAAAUGUGUACCUACUUAAUACUGUAUAAUGCAUGUUCUGUGUGAGUUUAUAUUGGUUCUGCUUAGGUCAUUAUUUAUCAUGCAUAUUAACUAAUUUAAAAACAAUCUUCUGAAAAGACUAAUCAAUGCUGUGGGGGAAGCCCAUAAGCAAGGCACUGACACUGAUAUGCUUCCCCACCAUCAGCCUUGGGGAAUCUUUUUAUAUUUUUAGUUGGAUCAGGAUCUAAGUAGAACAGCAAUAUAAACUUAUACAGAUUGUACACAAUAUUAAACAAGGAAUGUAUUGCACUGUAGGUGGUGUAAGGUUUUAACACCUCUAGUUAUUAACAUCGUAUGUUUCUUUGAAUAAUAAAGGUGGCAGUGGCAGCUGUAAUCUUUCACACAAACUGCUUUGCAAGCAUUCCUUAUUUACUUAAAUGUGUUCUUCAACUUAACCCCAAGAAUAAUAAAUGACAAAACUAAUAUACACUUUAAUAUUGUACAGUGCCAGUUUUGGAGAUCACCAUUUCAGAACCCAGGCAGCAAAUGCCCUCCCCACAGUCAUUCUGCUUGUGUUCAUCUGUCCCACUUCUGGACGGCUGUGUAUAUUUGUAGGCAAAGAACAUUUUCAUAUGUUGCAUUUUAUUAAAAUCCCCUUUUUCUGCUACCAUAUGCUAUUUGCAUUAAAUUACUGACACUUAUGUAUUUUGCAGUUGUAAUGUCAAUAGUGCUUUCUGUCCCACUUUCUGAAAACUGUGUUUUUGGUAGUGCCUGCUGUAGAAAAAGCAAUCCAGUUACAUGAUUAAUGGCUUUUGGGAACAAUCAAAUAGUAUUUAAAACCCUUUCUACCUGGUCUGCAGAGACAGUCAGUGAUAUACUGCCCUUAGAAUACAAUAAAUGUGAUGUUACAACAAAAAUGAUGAAUAUGGUACACAAAGUGACACCUCCUUGCAAGAGAACAAGAACCACAUCAUAAAACACUGACAAGGAGAAUUGCUUUAAUACUAUUUUCCAAUUUAAGAAAAAAAUAGCAAUGGAUGUAAACUUUGAUUUGUGUGGCUGGGAUGCUUUAGCACUUGCUCCUCCUUCUUUCGAGAUCCUUCUGUGAAACUUUCUUGCCCCACUCCCACCCAUCAGUAAGAACCGUGGGUGUUUGCUAGGUUACAGUUAAUCAUAACUGCUUUCUACACAAUAAACCAAAUUAAAUUAAUUAACAAGAGUGUAUUUGUGCUGACACCAUUUAUUAUCUAUAUUUCAUAGUAGCCUGGAAUCAGCUAUCUUACGCUUCCACCUUUGGUGGACCAGCAAGGGUUACGUGACCUCUUACAUUAACUUUUAAUAUGAAAAAAUAUGGGUCGUACCCCGUAUGAAAAGAAUAAUAGAUGAAAAAGGUGGGCAUUUUUACCACCUUUAGGUACUUUGUCACUAGUUCACCAUGAACUGUAAAGUUAGAUUGCUAGUGACUAAAUAACACAGACAAAUCACUCCAUUUCUUUGCCCGAACUUACCAAUGACACAUAAAUGCAUUUCUAGUUGCUAUGUGCUUUUUUAUGAAGGAAGCAUUUCAAGUUUUUAAGAGAUGCCUCAGCAGUGCAUUAUUUUAAUGUAAAUCGAUGGAGUCUUUAUCCAGUAUAUCAAGUUUGUUUGUUACUUCUGGACUGAAAGUAUUGAUUUGAACAGUGCUUUCUGUGUUUGGUGCUAUUGAUUGUUUUCAGUUGAUUGUGAAACACUUUUUAGCUUCAUAUAUGCCUCAGCAGCUGCUUGCGUUCUGAAACUUGCAAUUUGUAGUAAGAAAAGAAAAAUCAAUAAAAAAUCUCCUGCUGAAUUGUCAGAAAAUUUUUGAAAUGGCUGUGCAAUUUAAAAAUGUGUUCUGUUCUGUAAAGAUUGAUCUAUUAGACAAUCUAUCAACGUUUAAAUAGUCUACAUGUAAAAAGUUAUUUCAACAUGUUUUUGCAACACAAUGUGUGAUGCUGUCUGUUCGGCACUCUUGCUCUGUAGGUCAUGAAGGUAAUUGUUACACAGAGUCCACAUACCCUGCCAGGAACAUCCACUUGAAAUAGUGACCCUUAUAUAUUCACGUAAAUAUUAUCACUCACGUUAAGUCACAUUAAGCAAUUCGGAUAUGCACAAUGUAUUUAAAUUCUUUGGAACCACAAUUGUAAAUUUAAAACAAAAAAAUGUGUGUGUAGCUCGGAGUGGUCAGACACUGGUAUGGCCUGUGGAAGCCAGCCUUCGUUCUCUGAAGAGAUCACUUGCAUGGCAGAAGCUGUUCUUCAUUCUAGAAAAGAGCACACAAGGAGGUAAGAGAAAUACACUUGGAACCAAGGUAGGGGUCUUGGUGGCACAGCGGGUUAAUGCAUGGGGCUUUCACCUGUGGAGGUCUAGGUUGUCUUGGAACUCAUUGGACUGUAGGUUUAUAAACUUGCUAUUCUAUGCCAGGGAUGCUCACAGCAACAUUACUGGUACGACUGUAUUCCUGUACUGUACUGUCUUUUUUUUCUUCCUAUCCAGAAUCCAUUGGAAGCAUUAGGUAGCCCAAAAUUAGUGCAAAGCAGAGCAUGUGAUUUGAAUUGUUGAUCAUUUUCUAGUUUUGAGCUUUAUAAUAAAAGGGCAUUUUAGUGUUAUUGCCUAGAUUAAUACAUUUUUUAAAUUUAAAAUAGGCUGCAAAUUAAAGAGUGUUGUGACCGUCUGCGGGCUCUCCUUCCAAACGUAAAGGACAAUUGGAUUGAUACUGCGUCUGUUCUUGAGAUGACUGUGGAGUAUAUGAGGUACCUUCAGAACAGCGCUCCGGAGGAAGUUUUGUCACAGGUGCUGCUGGAUCCAGUUACAUUGCAUUGUUUAUUAAAUCCCUUUAUACUGAAUUUAAACUCAGACAAUCACACGGUGUUUGUGUAAGAGUGUUAAUGGGUGUUUUGAAGUGCUCUCCCUGUGGGUGUCAUUUAUUUUAUUAUUUUUUGUUAAUUGGAGGGUCACCUCAUUCACAGUUGUCCCAGGGAAGAUCUUAUGGGAUUUGUUUUGAAGGAUAGCAGCGUUGCCACCCUUUCCAAAAUAUUGGAGCUGGUGUGCUUGUUUUCUUUUUUUUUUUUUUUUUUUUUUUUUUUUUAUCUUAACAUUUCUAAUUCCUGGCUUCUUGGGAUGAUUUACAUGGGAUAGUGAACUGCAAAGGCUUCUAAGAGGUAAUAGCAAGCAGCAACCAAUAUAGAAUGUAUUUUAAUGUUUUGAAUGCAUAUUUUGCAUAAACAAGCCUAAUUUUGAUAUUGGUUACCAGCACCUUAAGUAAUAACAGCAUAUGUCAUUUCUAUAUUCAGUCUGCACCUCUUUUUCAGGUGGCUAAAUUAAUGGGAGAAAACAGGCUUGGACGAUGGUCGAAAAAAACUAAAAUCCCAUUAAAACCAACUAAACCCCCACUGAAAGGGUAAUUAUUGAUUUGAGUUUUGUGCACACAAAUGAGUUAUUUGUGUGUUUGGAUCAUCAGUAUAUGUCGGAUUUCUGCCACAGUGGCGCUGUUCUACACCUGCCGUUUACACAGUACUCAUGCCACAUAUUAGAAAUAGUCAUUAGUCAGUGUAUUAGUCAAUGCUAUUGUUAAACGUAGUACCGUAUAUCAUGUAUUGCUAUCGUUGACUGAUAUGUAGUACUGUUACCUGCUUGCAAUAUAAAAACAUUUUUAAAAGCAAUAAACCAAUCUAACCAUUCCCAAUAAAGCACAUCUGUUUAGAGCAUUUCUGACAAUAGUACUUUGUAGUAUAUAAAAAGACAGUAUCAGAAACCAGAAUGGCCAUAUGGUGUACAAGAUGUGGCAUGCAUUUGAUUAUGCGUUCCCAGCUUUAUUUUUGCUGCAGUACAGAACACCCUUUUCUCUCCUAUUUUUUUUCAAUAAAAAUCAGAAGGGUAAAUUGUUUACUUUCUGUAGUUUCUUGGAUUUAAGCAAAGAAGUUUAAUGUAACCUUUUAGACUACAUAAAAACCCAUGAAGAACAUGUAUCUCCCUUCAUCAGGUGAAAGGCAUCAGUGAAAUUAAUACUGAACUAGAUGCAUUUUAUUCAAACAUUGUACUGUAUGCAACAUUUUUCAAACUGUCUAAAUCAAUCAAAGGUACAAACUCUUCUGAAAUUUUGGUCAUUAUUCUUCUGCAAACAUUUGUCACCUAUAAAGAUGCAUUUAAGUUCAUUUUGAUUGCAUUUCCUUGUUAUUUUAUAGGAAAGAACGUAACGUAAAGAAAAGUAAAUGCAAAAAAGACAAAAACCCCAAAGCUGGAAGAUUUAAAGCAAAGAAACCCAAAGCCGAUUACCUGUUAGCAAACUCCUUGGGAAAAUGCAUACUUCCUGCAGUAGACAAAAGCACCAAAUGGAGGCCGACUGGCCAGCCUGCUGCUGUCAUAAUUCCUGAUUCCAACCCAAACUCUGCAGAAGUGCUGUACCAGGAUUUUCCAGCACAUCAAUAUCCUGAAGGAAAUAAUGUCACUUUUGAAAGCUUCGGUACCACUGCAAAUUUCCCUAU